rnacentral:rRNA from 1 species
UGGGGAAUAUUGCGCAAUGGGGGAAACCCUGACGCAGCAACGCCGCGUGGAGGAAGAAGGUCUUCGGAUUGUAAACUCCUGUCUUUUGGGACGAAAAAAAUGACGGUACCAAAGGAGGAAGCCACGGCUAACUACGUGCCAGCAGCCGCGGUAAUACGUAGGUGGCAAGCGUUGUCCGGAAUUACUGGGCGUAAAGGGCGCGUAGGCGGCACCUUAAGUCAGAUGUGAAAACCCAGGGCUUAACCUUGGGACUGCAUUUGAAACUGAGGAGCUAGAGUGCCGGAGAGGAAAGCGGAAUUCCUAGUGUAGCGGUGAAAUGCGUAGAUAUUAGGAGGAACACCAGUGGCGAAGGCGGCUUUCUGGACGGUAACUGACGCUGAGGCGCGAAAGCGUGGGGAGCAAACA